CCUCGAGUUGAGACGUUCAUCCACUCAUUCAUGCUGUCGUCAUCCUUGUCAAUAAACUACCGAAACUGACAUUGAGGAGUGUGUUUCUUCAGGGUCUACGUGAUUAAUUUGGGCGACUUGGAGCCAGCGUCAAUCCACACGGACGAGACCAUUACCAGGACCAUUGGAGUGAAAACACAGCCCAUGUUGGACGGCCUGUUCCCAAACUCCAUGGCGACUAAACACACAGGGGAGGCUCACAAUGUAACACACAAACACACGCACACACACGUAGCCUCCAGUUCUGAGGAGUUAGCAAAACACUGUUGGAUGGGAAUAUAUUGUAAGAAAUAAAAUCAAUAUUGUGCCGGAACUUUAAAUGAAUAUACAGUUUUAUUCUGAAACCGCAUGUCGACCUCCGGUUUCACGUUAAUCAUUGUUUUUAGCCAUUAGCAUGUAGCUAAUGGUAUAUUGUGAAUAUAGGGGGAAUGAUACGUUGUGUUGCAUACUAAACACACUGUCUUCAACUCUCACUUAUUGACGCUGCAAUACUAUUAUUAGGGAAUGUUUAAAUGACCAACAGAUAUUAUAUUAGAAGAUUGUAAAUCUAACAUCAGAAAACGACAGGACGUGCCUUGGACCCGCCCCCGUCGACACUAAGCCAAUGGGAGAAGACUACAGAUGAUAAAUAUGUGACACGAAGUCGGUCUCUUUCUCAUCCCCUGCGACUGGAUGGAGCAAGCUCGGCCCGGCUAACCUUUUGCA